AGUACCUGGUGUACGCCCAUAAUCCGGGCGGAUUCGAUUUCAAAAGUUCCGGAGCCGUGAACGCCGAGAACACGUGCGGCGACUCCGUGUCCAACGUCAGAGAGACGCUGAUUGUGAACAUCAUCAAUACGGCACCGUUGAUUACUAAUCCUUGGGGUUCCAGUGACGUCGCCGAGGACGUCAGCGGAACGUUGACGUUAAAGACGUUGGAUUUGUUACUUUCGAUAAGUCUGAUGCCACCUGCUCAAUGACGAGCGCUGACGGAGGACCAUUCGCCGUCACUGGCAACCAAAUCGUAAAGACGGCUGGAGCUCUGGACAUUGAGACAAAGGCAACGUAUAAUCUUGACGUCACGUGCACUGACGACCUUCUUCAAACCACGGAUACUUACGUCGUCAAAGUCCAAAACGUC